UUUUGAUUUGCUGACGUCAAAGAAAUUUCCAAAAUUUUAUAAUAAUUAUCAUUAAGUUAAAAAUUAUACUCAAUUAUUUUGUUGCACUAGAUUUAUGUCAUACUUCUAAAAUCAAAUACUAUGGGAUAAAUUUUUAUAUAAAAGCAGAGUUUUUGAAUUUCAAAAGUAUAUAAAAGUUGUACAGCAUUCAAGUAGUGCUAAAAGUUAAGCAUAAAGAAAUUGGGAAACUUCAUCAACGUUAGCAAAUUUAAAUUUGUAUUGAAAAAAAUAUAUUGUUCAACAAAAUUAUUUCAUUUAAAAUCAAUCCUAUGAAACAUUUCUUUGAAAGCCACCCUGAUGACGAAGAGCCAACUGAUGAC